AAACACAAUAAGAACACAUUGAAAAACACUUUGUUGACAGAUUUUUCUAUUAUGGGCUAAUCUACAAUUUUGGUAUAUAACAUCAACAUAUUGUGGGUAUCAUCCAUAGCCUACUUCACCAUUGUGUAGGGUAGGCUAAGACCAGGAGUUAUAUUACGAUUUGCUCAAUGUGCUGAGAUCACCCCAUCAUCAUUGUAAAGUCUUAUUGAUACAAGACGCUUCCUACUUAGGUUUUUCGGGAAACAAAUAAGGCUUACUUGAUUUCUAAAAUUAUAAAGGCCCACUUGUGCAACCCCUAAAUAUACUGAACUGAGGCCUGACAAUAUAAAUGAGACCAUUCCUUGUGGCAAGUCAACAAAAACAAGUAAAUAGUGGGUGAAAGUAGGUAGAUAGUAGGUAAAACUGUUUAGAAAAUGUGUGUCCUGCAACGGCAGUGUACUGUAUAUUUGCAUAUAUAUGUUAGAUCUUGGGUAGGCUACAUUCUUAUUUUGCAUGAUAUGAGAUGUGCUGUUAUGAGACAAUAGUUUGUACUUUGGUCUUUCUAGAAAACUGGAUGAACUCUGUGGUUGUUGGUUUGGGAGUGGCAUUAGGCGUGUGUGUUGCUGUGAUGACCCUUCUUAUUGCUUCACAUUUAAAGAGAUCUGUGUGUGAUCACUGCAAAGAGACAACUCCUAAUCAACUGCACUGUAACAACCCUGUGCUAGAGGCACCUCAGGGAAGUGAUACUGAGAUGAUGAACUACUCUUCUCUGCAUUUUUCUACGAAGAGAAAGAAGAGGGGAGAAAAGAACAAGGACUUGCAACCAGAGGUUGUUUACUCUGAUGUAAAACAUCUAAAAUGACAAAGGCUGAAUAUUCAUUCAUUGAGA
ensembl:lncRNA